AAAUUCGGAUUAAUGCUCCAUGGUUUAUCGAUAUGGCAUCGUAUUGAUAAUAAAGAUUUAUCGGUAUAAGAUGGGCAUGCGUAUCAUUAGCUAGUUGGUGUGGUAACGGCAUACCAAGGCGACGAUGAUUAGGGGUCCUGAGAGGGAGAUCCCCCACACUGGUACUGAGACACGGACCAGACUCCUACGGGAGGCAGCAGUGAGGAAUAUUGGUCAAUGGAGGCAACUCUGAACCAGCCAUGCCGCGUGCAGGAUGACGGUCCUAUGGAUUGUAAACUGCUUUUGUACAGGAAGAAACCUCUCUACGUGUAGAGACUUGACGGUACUGUAAGAAUAAGGAUCGGCUAACUCCGUGCCAGCAGCCGCGGUAAUACGGAGGAUCCGAGCGUUAUCCGGAAUUAUUGGGUUUAAAGGGUUCGUAGGCGGCUUUGUAAGUCAGUGGUGAAAUUUCCUAGCUUAACUAGGACACGGCCAUUGAUACUGCAGAGCUUGAAUAAUAUGGAAGUAACUAGAAUAUGUAGUGUAGCGGUGAAAUGCUUAGAUAUUACAUGGAAUACCAAUUGCGAAGGCAGGUUACUACGUAUUUAUUGACGCUGAUGAACGAAAGCGUGGGGAGCGAACAGGAUUAGAUACCCUGGUAGUCCACGCCCUAAACGAUGUCAACUAGCUGUUGGGGCCGUUA
rnacentral:rRNA from 1 species